GUUGCAGUUAAAAAGCUCGUAGUUGAAUUUCUGGAUGUGAAAGGUGGUCGGCACCUCACGGUGUCUGUACCUACCAUACGCGUCCAUCCUCGGGAGGAACAUGUGGACACUUAAGUGGGUCUGCUUGGGAAUCUCGUCAUUUACUGUGAGCAAAAUAGAGUGUUCAAAGCAGGCUUAUGCCGUUGAAUAUAUUAGCAUGGAAUAAUAAGAUACGACUUUGGUCUAUUUUGUUGGUUUGCAUUCCAAAGUAAUGAUUAAUAGGGAUAGUUGGGGGUAUUCGUAUUCAAUUGUCAGAGGUGAAAUUCUUGGAUUUAUGGAUGACGAACUACUGCGAAAGCAUUUAC
rnacentral:rRNA from 1 species